GGGAAGGUGGCUCAGUGGUAGAGUGCUUGCUUUAUAUGCAUGAGGCUGUAGGUUCGAUUCCUCAAUACCA
rfam:Dipodomys ordii contig_71572, whole genome shotgun sequence.